UACAGAGGGGGCAAGCGUUAUUCGGAAUUAUUGGGCGUAAAGGGCGCGUAGGCGGCUUUGCAAGUGACGGGUGAAAUCCCUCGGCUUAACCGAGGAACUGCCUGUCAGACUGGAAGGCUUGAGACCGGGAGAGGUGAGUGGAAUUCCCGGUGUAGCGGUGAAAUGCGCAGAUAUCGGGAGGAACACCAGUGGCGAAGGCGGCACUCUGGGCCGGUACUGACGCUGAGGAGCGAAAGCGUGGGGAGCGAACAGG
rnacentral:rRNA from 1 species